CAAAUACUUCCUCCGUUCGAUAAUUCUUGUCAAAAUAUUACAUGUAUCUAGACGCUUUUAAGGAAUAGAUACAUCCAUUUUUUAGCAAAUUUGAGACAAGAAUUAUGGAACGGAGGGAGUGUAUG
rnacentral:pre_miRNA from 1 species